rnacentral:rRNA from 1 species
AUUGAACGCUGGCGGCAGGCCUAACACAUGCAAGUCGAGCGGUAGCACAGAGAGCUUGCUCUCGGGUGACGAGCGGCGGACGGGUGAGUAAUGUCUGGGAAACUGCCUGAUGGAGGGGGAUAACUACUGGAAACGGUAGCUAAUACCGCAUAACGUCGCAAGACCAAAGAGGGGGACCUUCGGGCCUCUUGCCAUCAGAUGUGCCCAGAUGGGAUUAGCUAGUAGGUGGGGUAACGGCUCACCUAGGCGACGAUCCCUAGCUGGUCUGAGAGGAUGACCAGCCACACUGGAACUGAGACACGGUCCAGACUCCUACGGGAGGCAGCAGUGGGGAAUAUUGCACAAUGGGCGCAAGCCUGAUGCAGCCAUGCCGCGUGUAUGAAGAAGGCCUUCGGGUUGUAAAGUACUUUCAGCGGGGAGGAAGGUGUUGAGGUUAAUAACCUCAGCAAUUGACGUUACCCGCAGAAGAAGCACCGGCUAACUCCGUGCCAGCCGCCGCCGUAA